rnacentral:rRNA from 1 species
AGGGUUUGAUCAUGGCUCAGGAUGAACGCUGGCGGUAUGCUUAACACAUGCAAGUCGUACGAAGAUAAAAUUGUGCUUGCACGAUUUUAUACUUAGUGGCGGACGGGUGAGUAACACGUAAGAAUCUACCUUUUGGCGAGGGACAACCACUGGAAACGGUGGCUAAUACCUCAUAUAACUGAGAAGUGAAAGAUGAAAAUCACCAAGAGAUGAGCUUGCGUCUGAUUAGCUAGUUGGUAAGGUAAAGGCUUACCAAGGCGACGAUCAGUAGCUGGUCUGAGAGGAUGAUCAGCCACACUGGGACUGAGACACGGCCCAGACUCCUACGGGAGGCAGCAGUGAGGAAUUUUCCGCAAUGGGCGAAAGCCUGACGGAGCAAUACCGCGUGAAGGAUUAAGGCCUAUGGGUUGUAAACUUCUUUUCUCAGAGAAGAAUUUUGACGGUAUCUGAGGAAUAAGCAUCGGCUAACUCUGUGCCAGCAGCCGCGGUAAGACAGAGGAUGCAAGCGUUAUCCGGAUUAAUUGGGCGUAAAGCGUCUGUAGGUGGUUUAUCAAGUUUUUUGUCAAAGAUCGGGGCUUAACUCCGGGCAGGCAGAGAAAACUAGUAGACUUGAGUUCGGUAGGGGCAGAGGGAAUUCCCGGUGGAGCGGUGAAAUGCGUAGAGAUCGGGAGGAACACCAAAGGCGAAGGCACUCUGCUGGGCCGCAACUGACACUGAGAGACGAAAGCGAGGGUAGCAAAUG